rnacentral:tRNA from 1 species
UUCCAGGUGGUACAGUGGUAAAGAAUCUGCCUGCAAUGCAGGAGACCCAGGUUCAAUCCCUGGGUUGGGAA